rnacentral:hammerhead_ribozyme from 1 species
AUUCAGCUGACGAGUCCCAAAUAGGACGAAGUGAUGAGCGUCCUGGAU